UGCGCCCCGCGCGGGCCCCGCACCCCGCCGCCGUGCGCGCGCUGCCGCCGCCGGGGGACAUCCGCGGCGCCUUCUACAGGCAACUCACGGAACAAGCGUUUCCCACGGACAGCCAAGGAGUCAGCAUGAAGGAACUCAUCUGCGUCCACUUAGGGCUGCUUCCCGCGUCGACGGCCGUGCAGCAAGCGAGGCGGCUCGCGCACUCCGUCCACGAGCUGGCGGGAGACAACCCUGCUGUCGCGGCUGAUCUUCUCUAGAUUGUAACUAUAAGUCGUUGUAUUUAAGAUUAUAGGGAUCAUAACUGAGAGCAAAAGCACACGAUGCGUUGCGGCGGCGUUGCGUAGCCACGAUAGCCGACCGAACGGUGAAGGGGUCGGACUUAGCCGACUCGUGUUCCGGGGAACGCGGGUUGGUCCCCGCCGCCGCUUGACUAUUGUGGUGAGCUCAAUCGUGAUACAAACAUAUUUAGCUUAGUACGAGGGGACUAUUACUAAUUUGUGCUUGAGUAAUAACAAAUUACUAAUAAUCUUUAAAAAAAACUAACAGAAAUAUUUGUAGCGGGCCGCGCCACGCGAUACGGCUAAAUCUUUGCGGUGUAGCGCCGUAACGCAUCGUGUGCUUUGGCUCUUGAUUCGGUACCUGCGGUAGUGGAGAGGAUUAUAUUAUUAUGUGACGUAGUAACAAAGAUGUCACGGUAUUGACGCACAUCUGCCCCCUAACGACUAUAGAUGAACUACACUGAACUGUCCUUUAUUUGACACUGACAGGGGGGCCACCGUCAAUAGCGGAUCGCUAGUUCCGACUUUUGCCACGGUGGAAACCAUAUAGUUGCACGAAGAUGGUGGCGCCCUGCUGUCAAUGUCGUCGGUGGGACAUUUCAGUGUAGUUCAUCUAUACAAAAUGUGACAGUUCAGGCAGUUCCGAAAUCAGUUCACGGACCGCGAUUUUAGAAUUACAACUGUCACAGUUUGUAACUUGUCUAGGGGACUGAAAUCUCGUUGACGUUACAACGGACACCGCUCUAUUAUGGCAGGAACCGAUUCAGUUAUCCGCUUAUCCUGUAGUAUGAUAGGAAGCUAUUUACUCCCAUUCCACUGUAUUUGUAGAUUUUUCCAUUUAUUAUUUCCAACGUUAAAAUAUAACAGCUUGAUAGUAUUAUUAAAACUGCAAUUGGUUGACGUGAAUUUCGCCAACCGAAUUAUCAGUAGAGUAAGGAAUAGAUAGAUAGAAGUCUAAAACUGGUUUCCGCGAUCAUCUUUGCUAUACCCAAAUGACUUCGAACUUAAAUGACAAGAAUAUGGACGCGGCAAUCAGUUUUGUGAAACUUCGGUGGAAUGAGAAACUUUAUUGGCCCUUAUCCCGUUCAUCUACCUAUUUAAAGUAAUAUUACACAUACAACCUAGUCUGUUAUUGUAGAAUAGAUAGACCCAGCUGUGCCGAUUUAUUAUUGCCAAAUUAGUCACUAAGCAUAAUCCUUAGUAAAAGAAGUGAAGAUAAAUAAAGGGAUCUUUUAAUUCCAAGAUAUAAUGCCAGUUUUAUGACAAACUUGUAUGUAAGUGGUACAUAAUCUUUUUAUGUAUUAUUUUAAUGGACUAGCAAUUUGUAGUCCUUUUGAAGUCUUUUGCUAAAUUAUUAAGCCUAUGUAAUGUCCGAAUGGUCGCUUCAUUCAGGCAUGUAAACCGAAUUUAUUUGUUAUGCAUUUAAUUUAUAGUUAUGUUGUUGUGUUAAAAUUAUACUUUUGUUCAAAAUAUUUUAUUGGUUUUUCAUGAAAAAUAAUAAAACACCCUUUAAAGUU